rnacentral:rRNA from 1 species
AGACGAACCGUCCAAACGUUAUUCGGAAUCACUGGGCUUAAAGGGUGCGUAGGCGGCGCGGUAAGUUGGGUGUGAAAUCCCUCGGCUCAACCGAGGAAUUGCGCCCAAAACUGCCGUGCUCGAGGGAGGCAGAGGUAAGCGGAACUGAUGGUGGAGCGGUGAAAUGCGUUGAUAUCAUCAGGAACACCGGUGGCGAAGGCGGCUUACUGGGCCUCUCCUGACGCUGAGGUACGAAAGCUAGGGUAGCGAACGGGAUUAGAAACCCCAGUAGUCC